UCUCCGUUGGUGAACCAGCGGAGGGAUCAUUACCGAGUUUACAACUCCCAAACCCAAUGCGAACGUUACCAAACUGUUGCCUCGGCGGGAUCUCUGCCCCGGGUGCGUCGCAGCCCCGGACCAAGGCGCCCGCCGGAGGACCAACCAAAACUCUUUAUGUAUACCCCCUCGCGGGUUUUUUUACAAUCUGAGCCAUCUCGGCGCCCCUCGUGGGCGUUUCGAAAAUGAAUCAAAACUUUCAACAACGGAUCUCUUGGUUCUG
rnacentral:misc_RNA from 1 species